CAGCUGUACCAGACGACCGCUCCGAUGGCGUCGCAAGGCGCCGCAUCGGAGAGGAAAGUCCGAACACCAGCCUUCUAGGCAAUCGUGCGAUCGCGCUUGGAAGGCAGCACGUAGCGGGUAACGCCCGCCAGGGUAACUCCCAGAGGUGCGAACAGUGACGCUUGCGAGCGAAAGCGAGCAAGCGCCCCGAACUGCCGCAAGGCAGCAUCGGGGCGAGCUCUUGCAGAGAUGCGAGAGGUGCAACGGCAAAAUCCUUACGUUGGUGCAAGAUCGUGUCCCGAUAUGGGCUCGCGCCCAUUCGGGAAGAAUCGCUCGAGGUCGGCCGUAAGGCUGAUCCUAGAUAUAUGGUCGUCGCUCCCGGUGAAAGCCGGGAAGACAGAAUUCGGCUUACGGUACGGCAACAUG
rnacentral:RNase_P_RNA from 1 species